UAAACUUGGGGAUCCAUACCGCAGCACC
rnacentral:sRNA from 1 species